UGACAGUGACGAUCCUAAUUAGGUCUCGUUCGUCGUAAUUGGCCAAGUUGGCCUUGCCGACAAAUCCUGUUAUACUCUGAGUCCCUUCUUAUUUUUUAAUUUCAUUUCAAUUGGCCUAUGAUUAUAAAUAAAAUAGUACAUUGGAGAGUCAAAUGAUGAUUAAUAGCAUAGUUCAAAUGAUGAAUUCGUGAUUAUUCAAAUUUUAGUCUUUCGCUCCUAUCUGAUGACUCCUUAAUGAUCUAAAUUAUUUUGUUUGACAUUGUAUUAUUGUCGUCUGUGAUGAUAUUAUUAAGGCUUGUUUCUCAAAACAUUCGCAGUGGCCGACCAAGAGCUUUCGCCUUCGCCAGGCUUGAGAGCUAAUGCUGUUUUUUUUUCCUUCCUUGGAUGUCUGAGACGACUUUAAUUUUGUAGUUUACACAGGUGGUGCUUUAAUAAUUUGUUUUGUUUGUCGUUGUUUGUUUAUAAAUGAUUGUUCAAUGAUGAUAAUCCAAAGGCUUGUUUCUCAAAACAUUCGCAGUGGCCGCCUAAGAGCUUUCGCCUUCGCCAGGCUUGAGAGCUAGUGCUGCUUUAUCCUUCCUUGGAUGUCUGAGACU
rnacentral:lncRNA from 1 species